CGUUCCUGUUCUAAAAUACACGGCUGCAUGUGCUAAGUGCUUUCUAGAGUAUUGUGACUUGUGUCAGGGUGGUGGUGACAGAAGGAAUGAAUCUGUUCAUUUGUUUAUGCCCGCUGGUGGAAAACAAACUGAAUAUCAGCCAACAUAAUUCAGUUGACACUGUUCUGAAAUAUCCUCCUCCCACACAAAGCAGGAUUUCACAUUUGCAGAAAAUAUUUAUCUCAACAGCAAGCAAGCCCAUACUGGCUCAUUUCAUAGCUUUAAAUCACCACAUGAAGGAACGUGACCAGGCCAAGUCUGGAGUGCUCCGGCUCAGGUAGGGAUGAAGCGUGUCACCAGUUCCCAGGGGCUAUCAGGGAGAUGGCAGCAGGCUCCACAUGAAACAACCUUCGGUCAGUUGUUUUGCCCCACUGGCCAACAUGGACAGGUCACUAUGGCUUGACAUCUGCUUGAAUGCCAAGCGGAAAGUUUGAAGAAGGCAUUUCAUUAUCUCAAUCAGGAUUACGUCCUGUGCUCUUGAAUGAUAUUCCAAGUCAGGUUACAACUUUUCUCUUAUGUCUCAUAAUUGUUUCAGUAAGAAUAAAUGUUGAAAGGGAAAUGUAUCCCAUUUGUAAAAACCUUGAAACAGUUAAGCAAUGAACCCAAUUAAGUAGCCUUUUUUUCCCAGAAGAAAGUAAUGUUUUAAAUCAAUUAAUUAAUUCUUUUUAUAAGCGUGUAUUGCCGUCACC
rnacentral:lncRNA from 1 species